AAAGAAUGAGGCAGAAUAUUCCUUAAAGGAGAAAUAAGUACAUCUAUCUAUCUUUGUAUUAGAUCUUUAAUAAUGCAGUCAGCAGAAGAGGGACACGUCACCCCGGAGGAUCUACAACAUGAAGGAUUCCAGAAGAAACCAAUAAAAAAGGAAGAAGAUGAAGAUGAGGACGAUGAUUUCUUCUGUGAAGGAUCGUUAAUCCCUGUGGAACAAGUCAUGGAACUCUUCUCCUCAGUGGACCAACAGUGUGGAGGUUUCCAGAUGAAGCCUGUGAAGAAGGAAGAACCUGAAGAUACAAAUGAACUCAGUAAGACUUCAGCAAAAUCACAUUUUUAUUUAAUAAAGUUUUAUUUUGUGACCUUA